UGCACUUUGGAUCCUGAUUGCAAUAACCAGGAAGUUAUUCUGUUAGCAACGCAAAGCAUGUUAUAUCAAUUUCAAGGUCUGCUAACAACAGUGAUUUUAAUAGUCCUAAUCAGAUCACGGGAAAUGAAUGUUAGUGCAAGUAGAAUUAAAUUCGCCUAAGACAACCGUUUCCUUUGCCGUACCCGUUGGAACCAAACAAUUAACUUUUGUUCACUUUUGAUGCUGCAAAAGUUAGAACAGUGAGACAUGAAGAUUCAAGAUAAGAUCACGAUUCUGGAAUAUUUUCUCAAUAUUUUUAAUGGACUUUUCCUGGUUACAGGGCUCAUCAUCUUGGCGUCUGGGAUAUGGAUUUUAUUUGACACCAACAGUUUUAUCACAGCCGUAU